CCCACCUGCUUGUACCCGCCCACCUUCACCCCACGUUCUCCCUGGAGCUCUUCUUCCCAGCCCAUGUCCUGACUCGGGCAAAGGACAGUGCGGCCCCUCAGGCAGGACAGCGCCCAGGCGGCCCGGCGCAGCGUGAGCUCAAGCCCCGCCUCCGGCUGUGCAGGUGCAUGGACUGACCCACGCGGUGACCACACUUACCUUUCCCUCGUUACGACACCCAAGUCCCUGCCGAAGGGGGAGCACAAGCCUCGCUUACACAACAGGCACCGGACGGAGAGGCGUGUUUCGUCAAGGCGCGCACGACUUCACGCCACCUCCACAUGCGAUGACGAGGCUCCCCUUUCUGGAUACGCUUCUUCACCCUAAAUACGAGGCAUCCACCGCCCUUGCUCGGAGUCACGGCUUCGGAAGUUUCUGCCCGUGACCUCCUUACUUGCUGCAAAUCAAGUUUCCCUCGUGCGACCACUGCCCCGGUGUGGUCGCCGCGUGUGACUCACCCAGGAGCCAACUCACGCUGGUUCCCUUGCACCUGCACCACGCACCCUGCUUCUGCCAGACGCACGGGGCCUGGGGGUCGCUCGGGGACCCAGGCGCCCCCCACUCGGGGCCUCCCGCGGUGGGGGUGCCAAGGUUCCCAGAGCCCCAGGGCACAUCUGGGCCACUACAAGGCUUGGGGGAGGGGUUUGGUACUUGAUCCCCAUGCUGUGCUAAGCUCAGGACCGGCUUGCAGGUUCUGGGGUUCCUGAACUGGGGGAGUCCCCGGGGGGAAUCCUGAGAAGCUCCUUGGCAGGAGCCCCUGCUGUGACCUGCUUGGUUGUGCAGAGCAUGGGACCCCCCCACCUCCGCCCCUUGAUUCAAGGGCCCUGUGGGGGCUGAAGUGAGAGCUGCUUUGGGAAAGACCCCCACACACACACAUGCCCACCGCAGUCAGACCCAGGGACCGGGUAGGAAAGGCCCAAGGUGAGAAGCAGCCCCUCCUCCCCGCCAGCCCUCCACCCUUUCCUCCUCCUCCUCUUAAC
rnacentral:lncRNA from 12 species